AUUGAACGCUGGCGGCAGGCCUAACACAUGCAAGUCGAACGGUAACAGGAAGAAGCUUGCUUCUUUGCUGACGAGUGGCGGACGGGUGAGUAAUGUCUGGGAAACUGCCUGAUGGAGGGGGAUAACUACUGGAAACGGUAGCUAAUACCGCAUAACGUCGCAAGACCAAAGAGGGGGACCUUCGGGCCUCUUGCCAUCGGAUGUGCCCAGAUGGGAUUGGCUAGUAGGUGGGGUAACGGCUCACCUAGGCGACGAUCCCUAGCUGGUCUGAGAGGAUGACCAGCCACACUGGAACUGAGACACGGUCCAGAUUCCUACGGGAGGCAGCAGUGGGGAAUAUUGCACAAUGGGCGCAAGCCUGAUGCAGCCAUGCCGCGUGUAUGAAGAAGGCCUUCGGGUUGUAAAGUACUUUCAGCGGGGAGGAAGGGAGUAAAGUUAAUACCUUUGCUCAUUGACGUUACCCGCAGAAGAAGCACCGGCUAACUCCGUG
rnacentral:rRNA from 1 species